CUCCUCCGGAACGUGCACGCUCUCGCUUUUGCUUCCCGCCGGAGGCUUUUGCGGGGCUCCCCGGGUCCCCGGAGGGGGAAGGGGGGGCAGUGGCGGCAGCUGGGGCUGCAGAAGCAGCCCGGGGGUCCGGAAGUCAACACCAUGUCGAGUCUGCACAAGAGCCGGAUUGCAGAUUUCCAGGAUGUCCUGAAGGAGCCCUCCAUUGUGUUGGAAAAGCUUCGAGAACUCAGCUUUAGUGGCAUCCCCUGUGAGGGCGGACUGCGGUGCCUCUGCUGGAAGAUCCUCCUGAACUACCUCCCUUUGGAGAGAGCCUCGUGGACUUCCAUCCUGGCCAAGCAGAGGGGGCUCUAUUCUCAGUUCCUGAGAGAAAUGAUUAUCCAGCCUGGCAUUGCCAAGGCCAACAUGGGUGUAUCCAGGGAGGAUGUGACCUUUGAGGACCAUCCGCUCAACCCAAACCCUGAGAGCAGGUGGAACACGUAUUUUAAGGACAACGAGGUGCUGCUGCAGAUUGACAAAGAUGUCCGGAGGCUGUGCCCAGAUAUAUCCUUCUUCCAAAGAGCCACUGAGUACCCCUGCCUCCUCAUCCUGGACCCACAGAAUGAGUUCGAGACCCUUCGUAAGCGUGUGGAACAGACAACAUUGAAAUCUCAGACGGUGGCCCGGAACCGGAGCGGGGUCACAAAUAUGAGCUCCCCACACAAGAACAGCACCCCGCCGGCGCUGAACGAGUAUGAGGUUCUGCCCAAUGGCUGUGAAGCCCACUGGGAGGUGGUGGAGCGGAUCCUGUUCAUCUAUGCCAAGCUCAACCCUGGCAUCGCUUACGUGCAGGGCAUGAAUGAGAUCGUGGGCCCCCUCUACUAUACUUUUGCCACUGACCCCAACAGCGAGUGGAAAGAGCACGCUGAAGCCGACACCUUUUUCUGCUUCACCAACCUCAUGGCUGAGAUCCGGGACAACUUCAUCAAGAGCCUGGAUGACUCCCAGUGCGGCAUCACCUACAAGAUGGAAAAGGUGUACUCCACCUUGAAGGACAAGGAUGUAGAACUCUACCUGAAACUGCUGACCCCGAUCCCUGCUGUCUCCCCAGCAAGAGCAGAACAUCAAGCCCCAGUUCUUCGCCUUCCGCUGGCUGACGCUGCUGCUGUCGCAGGAGUUCUUGCUGCCCGACGUCAUCCGCAUCUGGGACUCGCUCUUCGCCGACGACAACCGCUUUGACUUCCUCCUCCUGGUCUGCUGUGCCAUGCUCAUACUGAUCCGGGAGCAGUUGCUGGAGGGAGAUUUCACCGUCAACAUGCGGCUUCUGCAGGAUUACCCCAUCACAGACGUCUGCCAGAUCCUACAGAAAGCCAAGGAACUCCAAGACUCGAAGUAACCUGGUAGCAAGAGGCCUGGGCUUGGAAGAGCAGCCACCUGCGAUCUACACCCUGGUUUGUGGGACCCAGAGCAGCCAGUGGGAAAGGCAGCCUGAGGGCAAGCUGCAGGCUUGGCCAGCUCCAGGUCUUCCCACCCUGGUUCCCAUGGUCCAGGCUCCUCCUCCUGGAGCACACUGUGCUGUGCUCCUUCCCAGUGCUCGGCCCUGCCGCCCUCCCUGCACUUCAGCCCUGAGACCCCCUGCCCAGGCUGCCGAGCAGGGCUGGAGCCCUGAGACCCCCGCCCAGGCUGCCGAGCAGGGCUGGAGCCCUGAGACCCCCGCCCAG